rnacentral:tRNA from 1 species
ACCUGGGUGGCUCAGCUGGUUGAGCAUCUGACUUCGGCUCAGGUCACGAUCUCACGGUUUGUGAGUUCAAGCCCCACGUCAGGCU